UCUUCAUCGGAAUGGUCCAAAAUAUUAGCACUUUCCUGCUGUUGAGUAAUCUCAGUGUUUGAUUUCUUUGCAGAAGCUGCAAGCUCUUGUUGAAAUCUAUUCAGUGAUUUCUAUGUAUUCUACUUUAUGCGGUGCAAUCUGUUCUUUUACAUGCUUUAAAGUCAUCAUCUUUUCUAUAUUAACCUGUCUUCAUGAUAUUUUUCAGUUUGACAUUGGUGAGCUGUAAGAUAUUGAUUGAGAUCUCUCUUGUGUUGAGCAUAUUUUCAAACCAUCUCAACAGUGGAAGGCUGUCCAGCUUUACCCAACUGUGAAAUCCAUAUCCCAAGGCGUUC
rnacentral:sRNA from 1 species